GGGGAAUUAGCUCAGUGGUAGACGUUUGCUUCGCAAGUAAGAGGUCGUGGGUUCGAUGCCCAUAUUCUCCA
rnacentral:tRNA from 2 species